GCCACGCUGAAAUGCAAUCCACGUGCACAAGGACACACCCGGUAACUUACAAGGGUGAUCGCCAUUCAUCGACAUCCGCACGUGAAUACGAAGAAAUUCAGCGUUUACACAACUUUACUCAUAUAUUUACACGCAACUUCACUACAAGGUUGACGAAUAAGACCAAAUUUGACUUUCAGGUUUAAUAAAUUAUAAUUCAGUGGUGGAAUGAACGUCCAACCUCAAUCCGGACCGCAGAACCUGCCGCCAUUUUCAAAAAACAGCUGCAGACCCACCUCUUCCAUGAGCACUUAACUAACCCCUACCAUUCCAACCCCACAUUAUUAAAAAUAAUAAUAAUAAUAAUUACUCUGGCUCUUACACCUCGACUCUGCGCACAUAAAUGUUGUACGGUAGCACCACUCGUAUUGUUCUCCGCUGGAUAUAUCGCUUUGCUUGUAUUUCCUCAUUUGUAAGUCGAUUUGGAUAAAAGCGUCCGUGAAACGAAUGAAUGCAAAUGUAAAUAAUGUAAAUGCAAAUGUAAAUAAAGAUGAUAAAUUAAUCAAAUUUGCAUUACCCCCGCCCACACUUUUAGACUUUACGCCCCAAAAUAGGUGUGUAAAAUAUAUGUGUAAAACAGAUGUGUAAAACAGGUGUGUAAAAUAGAUGUGUAAAAUAGGUGUGUAAAAUAGAUGUGUAAAACAGAUGUGUAAAACAGGUGUGUAAAAUAGAUGUGUAAAAUAGGUGUGUACAAUAGGUGUGUAAAACAGGUGUGUAAAACAGAUGUGUAAAAUAGGUGUGUAAAAUAGGUGUGCAAAAUAGGUGUGUAAGAUAGGUGUGUAAAAUAGGUGUGUAAGAUAGGUGUGUAAAACAGGUGUGUAAAAUAGGUGUUUAAAACAGGUGUGUAAAAUAGAUGUGUAAAAUAGAUGUGUAAAAUAGGUGUGUAAAAUAGGUGUGUAAAAUAGAUGUGUAAAAUAGGUGUGUAAAAUAGGUGUGUAAAAUAGAUGUGUAAAAGAGGUGUGUAAGAUAGGUGUGUAAGAUAGGUGUGUAAGAUAGGUGUGUAAAAUAGGUGUGUAAAAUAGGUGUGUAAAAUAGGUGUGUAAAAUAGAUGUGUAAAAUAGGUGUGUAAAACAGAUGUGUAAGAUAGGUGUGUAAAAUACGUGUGUAAAAUAGGUGUGUAAAAUAGAUGUGUAAAAUAGAUGUGUAAAAUAGGUGUGUAAAAUAGAUGUGUAAAAGAGGUGUGUCGUUUUGCUCAUGUGAAAGAUAAGACCUGUCUGUAAAUCAGCUCGUACAUUCGGACAGGUUAAUCCUGUCAGUUAUUCCCAGUGUUUUAUGUCAUGGAUUUCUAUAAGAUGGUCCCUGAAGGUUUAAAAGCCAAAGUGCUGAUAAGAAAUAAAAUGACUGUUACUAAAGAAACACUUAAGUGAAAGUAAAAAGACGCCUUAAUGUUAAACUUCACAGCUCAGUCUCCAUGCCUCGUUAGAGAUUACUUUCAGUCACAUCCCAAACUCAGAGAUUCCAUUCUAACAAGACUCGGGUGCGUUUCACCCAUAAUGCACUGCGAGCACACAUCAGACUUAACACUGAGUGUGUCUGACCCUGUUACCCCACCCCCUUUACUAAACACUCCCAGUGCAUUUCACAAAAAACACACAUCUGUCACAGUGUGUAACGGCCAAUCAGAAACAGGAGUGUGUGUGUGUGUGUGUGUGUGUGUGUGUGCGUGUGUGUGUGUGUGUGUGUUCUAUAUAAACUGCUAUAUUUUAUAUUACUUGAAUACAUAAAUUUUUGUUAUUUAUUUGGUGUAUAUUAUUUUUAUACUGUAUAGCCUUACAAUACAACUUUUGAUAUUAUAUUAUUUAUUAUUGUUUAUUUACGUAGAAUCUAUUUAUUCACGGUAUUUAUAUUUAUUUAAUUGUGUAUUUCAUUCAUCUCAUUUCUAAGUAAUCACCGUAAUAAGACUGUUUUUAUAAUACAGCUGUAAGAUACACUAUAAUAUAAUAAUUUGUAUAAUAACUUAUAAUUUACUAUUUAUUUAUUUGCAAACACAACACAGGUUUAUUUGUGUUAUAAAUAUAUAUAUUUGUUUAACAAAUAUAUAUUUGUUAAAUAUAGGUGUGCAACAAUUAUUGGCACCCUUUUAGUCAAUGCUUUGUGCUAGCUCCCUUUGCCGAGAUAACAGCUCUGAGGCUUCUCCUAUAACGCCUGACGAGGUUGGAGAAUACAUGGCGAGGGAUCUGAGAGCGUUCCUCCAUACAGAACCUCUCCAGAUCCUUCACAUUUCAG
ensembl:lncRNA